AUUUCCAGGAAAUCUAGAAGUUUCUGAUGGACAUGGGAAGCAUGAAUAUAAAUUAUGAAUCCUUGCAGCUUUGUGUUAAGUUGACCUCUUCUGGGCAAUGAUUAAUCUCACUACGUGGAUUAAGGGUACAUGUUCUAGAGACAUCCAUCUCUUUGGAGACUUAGGCAAGUAGAAUCAGUUCAUCUUUCCAUUUCUCAUUUUGCUUAAUGGAGAACAUACUUGGUUCUUUUUAGUUACUCUCCUGUUCUGAUAAAGUACUUUGACAAAACACUGUAAUGGUUUCUUCUGGCUCUUAGCUCAGCUCAAGGAUAUGGUCCAUCAUGGUGGGGAGAUCACAGUGGUAGGAGCUUAACAUCUAACAUUCACAGUUGGAAAGAAGUGAUGACUACAUCCUGUGGCUCAGGCUGUUUUCUUUCUCCACCUAAUAUAGGCUCCCAGCCAGAAAAUGGCACCACCUACACUGAGCAAUUGGCACCUCAAUCAAUACGGUCAAGGUUAUUCUCUAUUGGAUAUACUCAGAAGCUCAAGUCCCAGGUGACUCUAGAUACUCUUACCUUGACUACUUGAUGGCACAAAGCAUGACAGAGUCCAUUAGAAGUACUCUUUGAUUCUGUGGAGUGUUGCUGCAACUAUCUGUAAUAUCAGCUUUUAACAGGUCAUACAUGUUAGUGUAGAUAAUAUAUGAAUUAAGAAAAGGCCCUCUAUUAAGCUGAGUAGAAUUUGUUCCUGGCUAUUGCAAUAUAUGUAUGACAAUUAGAGUGUAAGAGAGCAGAGAGUGUAGUAGUCUUUUCUGUUCUGUUCCAGUCCCCUCCCCUUCCUGCUACCUCCUACCCUCAACAUCCCCCUUUAAAAUUUCACACCCAGAGUAGACCUUUGAAAGUGAAAAUUGCAUCAUUACACGUGUCUAUUAGAAACCUUUCCAGGUGUGCUAGCACACAUCUAUACUCCUUCCACCUAGGAGAUGGAGCUAGGAGGAUCAAGCCAGCCUAAGCUACAUAGCAAGUUUGAGGCCAUCUAUGGUUAAUGAGUUUCUGUCACCAAAAAUAAAUGAAACCUUAGGUACUGUAUUCUAAGGGUUAUGUUUCAAGGCCUUGUAACUACCCCAGUUUCUUCUCAAUCCAGUGCCAUUUCUGUUCUCUUUAGUGUUUGUCUUCAUCGUGACUGUGUUUGUAUCUCAAAUGUUUGACUUUGUAAUCCUAACAAUGCUGCGUGCUUAAAAUGCUGUUGGUAUGCUAUGUAGCUAACAGUGGCAAAACCCUUUCCUUCUCUUUCUUUAAAUAUAAUUUAGAAGUACAUUUCUCAUGUAAACAACCCACUGAUUAUCAUUCUUGGAUAUUUUUUUUCCUGUUGUGUAUAUCUUGGGUGUACUGGCAAUGGAGAUGGGAAGGGAAUGGGGAUCUUUCGUCCCCAAACAUAAUUUAAGAUUCCUCAUCCUCUACUCCAAACCCCGAGACAUUCUUCAGUGGAUGUUUAAGAAACACUAAUGGGUGCUGCAUCGCUGGGUGGCAGUGAGGCAUUGUGGUGAUACUACAGUGGCCACGUUUCAAGGUCUCGAUUGCCACGUGCUGGAGGGUGCAGAUGCAGAACAUUCUCAUCCUUGGAGGGUGCGCUGCUCCAUUCUGGCUCUGCAUUAGAACUUAGAUGCUUUUCUCUCCCCAUCAUCUCUUCCCUUCCAUCUCUAUCAAGCAGCCCCCGCCAGUCCUUUUCCCAGACUUAGGACUUUUGCUUCUGUUUUGUGGCCCAUUUGCCUUAGCUGGGGCCAUCUAUGUGAUGGUUGGAUUGGGGCUAUCCAUUAGAACCCGUCAGGAUCACUGGUGGGUGCACAGAUGAGUGCAAUGACUCUCCCCUGAAUCUAUCAGUAGCACAAGGUUCAGCAGUAAAGAGUAGGUCCCUAAGCCCACCUCCAUGGCUAACGGUUGAUAGGUUCGUUCUUGUGCACAUUGUGAGCAUGCAUCCACAGAUGCUGAGUUCCUGACUGCAAUGGAUGCUUUGCCUAGAUGAUGGCAGGUUGGAGCCCUUCUCCCUAUCUUUUGUGGCUUACAUUCUUUCCAUGCCCCCUUAUGCAGUGUUCCCUUAAGCCUAGAGGGAAUCUUCCUUUUCUCCACCCCCGCAUUUAUGUAUCUGUAGACACACUUGGGCAUUUAAGUGGAGAGGCCAGAGUAGACCAGAGUUUAAUAUCAGGUGGUUUUCUCUACCUCAAUUCACCUUACUUUUUCUCCUUAGGUUCUCUUGAUGAACCAGAAAUUGACCAAUUUGGGUAGAAUGUUUGGCUAGGACCUUGUCUUUGUGUGCCUGAAGCACAUGCUGGCUUUUUACUGGGCCUCUGGAGGAUCUGAAUUCAAGUCCUAUGUACAGCAUCAUUUUCCUCACAGACACCUCUGCCAGCCCUGUUUUAGGUCUUGCCUCCUCAGUAGGAAAUGAGAAAUUUGUGUCUCAUAGUUUCCUUAUACCUAUUUUCACUCAACAAAUGUUUUUGGUCAUAUAUUGUAUGCAAGUCACUAAACUAAGUGCUGAGAAUUUGGUUGUGGAUAAGAUAGUUUCAAGCCUUUUUGCAUGGAGCAUAUAUUUUAAUGGGAAAGGCAGUCAUUAAGUAGUCAGAUAAAUAACCAGAAUUAUAUCAUGAAAUGUAUCAUAGCUGCUAGAGUGACUCUUGAGGAAUUGACUAAUGGACACCACCAAUUUCUUAGCUACUGACAAGUUGGAAGCACAGAAAGCUGGAUAGGAAUUUAUGGCUGAGGCCUACAGAUACCAUCAGCAUUUUAGUGCAGUCAAUAAAUUAAGUGAUGUUCAGGCUGUUUUCUGUGUUUUUCUCGUUUCUGACAUAGAACAAUGAUUAUGUCAGUUGCUCUGUGGUUUAAAGCCACAGUUAUUCUGAGAGGACACAGUUGCCAUCAGUGAGCAGUGACUGAUCCAAAAGAAUUCUGGCCGAGGUCUUGCCAGUGAUGGAAAGAAACGGUAUGUUCUUGCAGCUGCCAGAAGUUAUGCUAUUCUAGCUGAUGGCAACUUUUUUUGUCUUGAAACCCUUUCUGUAUUGUGACUUGUGACCACAUGAGUGAUUGCUGAGAAAGCAGAGAGCAUGCUAAUUCAUUGAACAGCUUUUUAUCCACAGAUAACUUCAAGUUGUCUGGAUACCUCAUAGAUGCUUUUGAUAAUGACAUUCCAGAGAAUGAUGUAGAAGAUAAACCUGGAACAUUGGGGCUUUACUAUUGUUCAUUAUUUUAGUUGUCUUUCACUCUUUACACCCUCAGUGCUGUUACUCUGGGAAGUCCUAGCAGCUUUCUUUAGUACAAAGGGGGCAAAAGAACUGUAGUUCUUUUCUUGGAGAUAUUUUUUGUUAGUGUGUGUAUCUUUUUUUUUUUAAAGGUAUUUUCCUCAUUUACAUUUCCAAUGCUAUCCCAAAAGUCCCCCCUACCCACUCCCACCUUUUGGCCCUGGCGUUCCCCUGUACUGGGGCAUAUAAAGCUUGCAAGUCCAAUGGGCCUCUCUUUCCAGUGAUGGCCAACUAGGCCAUCUUUUGAUACAUAUGCAGCUAGAGUCAAGAGCUCCGGGGUACUGGUUAGUUCAUAAUGUUGUUCCACCUAUAGGGUUGCAGAUCCCUUUAGCUCCUUGGGUACUUUCUCUAGCUCCUCCACUGGGGCCCUGUGAUCCAUCCAAUAGCUGACUGUGAUCAUCCACUUCUGUGUUUGCUAGGCCCCGGCAUAGUCUCACAAGAGAGAGCUAUAUCUGGGUCCUUUCAGCAAAAUCUUGCUAGUGUAUGAAAUGGUGUCAGCGUUUGGAAGCUGAUUAUGGGAUGGAUCCCCGGAUAUGGUAGUCUUUAGAUGGUCCAUCCUUUUGUCACAGCUCCAAACUUUGUCUCUGUAGUGUGUGUAUCUUAAUCCUUGCUCCUGUUAAAUGAUGUGCCAGUGGAUGCUGACACUGUCGAUAUAAACAACCACUGGUUAUCCUAUCAGUAAUUAUCGGAAGAGAAAUACAUAGUAGAGGAACAGAAGUAAUUGGGCUGGUGUGGUGGCUUUGAAUCUUCCUGAGGACAAGACUCAGUUAAUUCUUGUUGGGUGAAUGUAGGGACUGGAUUCUUUUCCUUACAGGCAUGCGGUAUUUGCUGUAGUUCCAGCCGCUCCAGAUUCCUGCCUGGAAGGUGCUGGAAAACAGGCAAAGAUUAAAUGAUGGAUGUUGUGAUUCAGUUAUUCCCUGUAAAACCCUUUUCUUGAAGCCCCACCGGGUUGAUCUUGCCUACCUCUCAUACCAUCACCCAUCAUUGCAAGGCAUGGCAGGAAAGGAAUCCUAGCCGUCGUCAGCUGUCACGCCAAAUGAUGUAGUUUCAGUUUUUAAGGGACCUUAGUAGCAUGGAAAUUAUAUUGCAGCUAGGUAGGCUGGUGCAUGUGUUAGAGAAGGAGGGGGCGGGGAGAGAGAGACACACACAGAGACAGAGACAGAGAGAGGGAGGAUAGAGAGUUCCAGGCUGGCUUGUAAAUGUCCUGUUGCACAUUUCAAUACCUAAGUAAAGAAAUGGUGCUGGAAGCUGACCAUCUGGACAGUGGUUUCAUUGGUGAACAGUGGAGUGGACAAGAGGAAAAGCCAGGCUUAAUCCCCUUUUUAAUGUUUUUUUAUUUGGAAGUUUUUAAAAAUAAAGUCUUAGUUACUAAAAAAAGAAGUUUUAAGAGAUGUUCUGGGGGCUGGUGAGAUGGCUCAGUGGGUAAGAACACCCGACUGCUCUUCCGAAGGUCAGGAGUUCAAAUCCCAGCAACCACAUGGUGGCUCACAACCAUCCGUAACGAGAUCUGGCGCCCUCUUCUGGAGUGUCUGAAGACAGCUUCAGUGUACUUACAUAUAAUAAAUAAAUCUUUAAAAAAAAAAAAAAAAAGAGAUGUUCUGGUGUGCAAUAACUAAAUGUGCAUUAAAUGUAGCUCUACAAAAACCUGGAAAAAUGUCCAUCCUCCUGUUUAUGUUACCUAAGUUGUUCUAGUAAGCAUCAUUUAUUCAUUGCUAGUCCAGUUAAACCCACGACCUUCAGGAUUGAUCUCUCAGAGGAGAAAACUUGGUAUCAAAUAAAUGCUAUUG
rnacentral:lncRNA from 1 species